rnacentral:rRNA from 1 species
UACGUAGGGUGCGAGCGUUAAUCGGAAUUACUGGGCGUAAAGCGUGCGCAGGCGGUUCGUUGUGUCGGCGGUGAAAGCCCCGGGCUUAACCUGGGAAUGGCCGUUGAAACUGGCGAACUGGAGUGUGGCAGAGGGGGGUGGAAUUCCGCGUGUAGCAGUGAAAUGCGUAGAGAUGCGGAGGAACACCGAUGGCGAAGGCAGCCCCCUGGGCUAACACUGACGCUCAGGCACGAAAGCUGGGGGAGCAAACAGG